GGUCCUACCAUGCUGGAUGGGAGAGUUGUGUUAUACCAUGUGGACAUGGAGGGAGGAGGGAGGUCCUACCAUGCUGGAUGGGGGAGUUGUGUUAUACCAUGUGGACAUGGAGGGAGGAGGGAGGUCCUACCAUGCUGGAUGGGGGAGUUGUGUUAUACCAUGUGGACAUGGAGGGAGGAGGGAGGUCCUACCAUGCUGGAUGGGGGAGUUGUGUUAUACCAUGUGGACAUGGAGGGAGGAGGGAGGUCCUACCAUGCUGGAUGGGAGAGUUGUGUUAUACCAUGUGGACAUGGAGGGAGGAGGGAGGUCCUACCAUGCUGGAUGGGGGAGUUGUGUUAUACCAUGUGGACAUGGAGGGAGGAGGGAGGUCCUACCAUGCUGGAUGGGGGAGUUGUGUUAUACCAUGUGGACAUGGAGGGAGGAGGGAGGUCCUACCAUGCUGGAUGGGGGAGUUGUGUUAUACCAUGUGGACAUGGAGGGAGGAGGGAGGUCCUACCAUGCUGGAUGGGAGAGUUGUGUUAUACCAUGUGGACAUGGAGGG